GCCAGUGUGGUAAAGUGGUUUGUGUGCUGGACUAGGACUCUAGGAGAUCAGGGUUUGAAUCCCUGCUUGGCCA